AGAGUUUGAUCCUGGCUCAGGAUGAACGCUAGCGACAGGCUUAACACAUGCAAGUCGAGGGGCAGCGGGGCUGAAGCUUGCUUCAGCCGCCGGCGACCGGCGCACGGGUGAGUAACACGUAUGCAACCUGCCCUUUGCUGGGGGAUAACCGGAAGAAAUUCCGACUAAUACCGCAUAACAUGCCGAGGGGACAUCCCCUUGGCCUCAAAGGAGCAAUCCGGCAAAGGAUGGGCAUGCGUCGCAUUAGCUAGUCGGCGGGGUAACGGCCCACCGAGGCGACGAUGCGUAGGGGUUCUGAGAGGAAGGCCCCCCACACUGGUACUGAGACACGGACCAGACUCCUACGGGAGGCAGCAGUGAGGAAUAUUGGUCAAUGGGCGGAAGCCUGAACCAGCCAAGUCGCGUGAGGGAAGACGGUCCUAUGGAUUGUAAACCUCUUUUGCCGGGGAGCAAUGCCACCUUUGCGAAGGUGGAGGGAGAGUACCCGGAGAAAAAGCAUCGGCUAACUCCGUGCCAGCAGCCGCGGUAAUACGGAGGAUGCGAGCGUUAUCCGGAUUUAUUGGGUUUAAAGGGUGCGUAGGCGGGCUGUUAAGUCAGCGGUCAAAUGUCGGGGCUCAACCCCGGCCUGCCGUUGAAACUGGUGCCUUGAGUGAGCGAGAAGUAUGCGGAAUGCGUGGUGUAGCGGUGAAAUGCAUAGAUAUCACGCAGAACUCCGAUUGCGAAGGCAGCAUACCGGCGCUCAACUGACGCUGAGGCACGAAAGCGUGGGGAUCGAACAGGAUUAGAUACCCUGGUAGUCCACGCAGUAAACGAUGAAUGCUACCUGUCCGGGACUUCGGUCCUGGGUGGGACAGCGAAAGCGUUAAGCAUUCCACCUGGGGAGUACGCCGGCAACGGUGAAACUCAAAGGAAUUGACGGGGGCCCGCACAAGCGGAGGAACAUGUGGUUUAAUUCGAUGAUACGCGAGGAACCUUACCCGGGCUCAAACGUAGCAGGACGUGCGCCGAAAAGCGCAUUUCACUUGUGACCUGUUACGAGGUGCUGCAUGGUUGUCGUCAGCUCGUGCCGUGAGGUGUCGGCUUAAGUGCCAUAACGAGCGCAACCCCUGCCGCCAGUUGCUAACGCGAAAAGGCGAGGACUCUGGCGGGACUGCCGGCGCAAGCCGUGAGGAAGGCGGGGAUGACGUCAAGUCAUCAUGCCCCUUAUGACCUGGGCUACACACGUGCUACAAUGGACGGUACAACGAGAAGCGAACCUGCGAAGGCAAGCGGAUCUCUUAAAGCCGUUCUCAGUUCGGACUGUAGGCUGCAACUCGCCUACACGAAGCUGGAAUCGCUAGUAAUCGCAGAUCAGCACGCCGCGGUGAAUACGUUCCCGGGCCUUGCACUCACCGCCCGUCAAG
rnacentral:rRNA from 1 species